CCUACGGGUGGCAGCAGUGAGGAAUAUUGGUCAAUGGACGAGAGUCUGAACCAGCCAAGUAGCGUGAAGGAUGACUGCCCUAUGGGUUGUAAACUUCUUUUAUAUGGGAAUAAACUGUUCCACGUGUGGGAUUUUGUAUGUACCAUAUGAAUAAGGAUCGGCUAACUCCGUGCCAGCAGCCGCGGUAAUACGGAGGAUCCGAGCGUUAUCCGGAUUUAUUGGGUUUAAAGGGAGCGUAGGGGGAUUGUUAAGUCAGUUGUGAAAGUUUGCGGCUCAACCGUAAAAUUGCAGUUGAAACUGGCAGUCUUGAGUACAGUAGAGGUGGGCGGAAUGCGUGGUGUAGCGGUGAAAUGCUUAGAUAUCACGAAGAACUCCGAUUGCGAAGGCAGUUCACUGGACUGCAACUGACACUGAGGCUCGAAAGUGUGGGUAUCAAACAGGAUUAGAUACCCCGGUAGUC
rnacentral:rRNA from 1 species